UGAUUGACUGGGGUGUGAAAUGUAACAGCCAAUGGUGUACUUAAGCUAAGACUGUCAGUCCCAAUAUUCAAGAGGAAAAACCCCUACAUAAACAAAUACAUGGGCGCAGACAUUUUGGACACCCAAGGUUGUGCGGAGGAGAAAAUACUAGCUGGCGCGUGAUUGGUCAAUAAGAGAAAAGACUUGUUAUGUAUUUGACAAGUGAAAUAAAGUUGAUAAAAAUCUCAUAUCAAGACUUGGGUUUCUUUGAGCAAUGCAUUAUCAAGAAGGAAGAGAUUAAUGAACCCUACCCUCUUACAAUGAACAACACAUUGACACUCUCGGGAUGAUCCCUUUGCUUUCAUUUAGAGUUCCAAGAUGUUGGUCUGAUUGACUGGGGUGUGAAAUGUAACAGCCAAUGGUGUACUUAAGCUAAGACUGUCAGUCCCAAUAUUCAAGAGGAAAAACCCCUACAUAAACAAAUACAUGGGCGCAGACAUUUUGGACACCCAAGGUUGUGCGGAGGAGAAAAUACUAGCUGGCGCGUGAUUGGUCAAUAAGAGAAAAGACUUGUUAUGUAUUUGACAAGUGAAAUAAAGUUGAUAAAAAUCUCAUAUCAAGACUUGGGUUUCUUUGAGCAAUGCAUUAUCAAGAAGGAAGAGAUUAAUGAACCCUACCCUCUUACAAUGAACAACACAUUGACACUCUCGGGAUGAUCCCUUUGCUUUCAUUUAGAGUUCCAAGAUGUUCGUCUGAUUGACUGGGGUGUGAAAUGUAACAGCCAAUGGUGUACUUAAGCUAAGACUGUCAGUCCCAAUAUUCAAGAGGAAAAACCCCUACAUAAACAAAUACAUGGGCGCAGACAUUUUGGACACCCAAGGUUGUGCGGAGGAGAAAAUACUAGCUGGCGCGUGAUUGGUCAAUAAGAGAAAAGACUUGUUAUGUAUUUGACAAGUGAAAUAAAGUUGAUAAAAAUCUCAUAUCAAGACUUGGGUUUCUUUGAGGUAUAUAGGAAUUACAGGUAAAAAUUUGAAGGGAGGGAUGCACUUUGGUUAGAGAUUUUCAUUUGGUGUCAAACGCACCUAGUUGUAAACAAAUGGAAAUUGAAAGUAAAAGU